UUAGUCUGGUGGAGUUAAAAGGUCACUUUUAAAGGUAAAUUUGGCCAAAAUUUGGCCAAAUCCAGACCUAGCCCAUAAAUUCUAAGCCCAUAAUCGUCAAGCCCACCCUAAUAACCAUCUCUAACCUAGAAAAAAAUCGGGCAGCUAAGACAAAGAAAAAGGAUCUAUUGCAGAACCCAAAAAAGGGGACCCCCCCCUCGAACUUCUUCUUCUUCACCAUUAGAACACCCCAACCUAAAAACACCCCUAAGAAGCCGCAGCUGCUCACCCCAACCUUGUCUCCAUCAUCUCCAGCCACACCAAUCGUUGCCCACCAGCCUUCAACUUCCCACCUUCUGCCUCAACGCUCACACAUGAACAAGGAGAGGGGUUUUGGACAGAAAAUUGGCAAUUCUAUAUAAAAAAGAUCAAAAAAAUCAGUUCUUACAUCAAAAUCAGAAAAAUACACAAAAAAUGUUAGUUUCUUCCAUUCAAUUUCUGUUUCUAAAAAUAGUUGAGGUUGCGUGAUUAAGCCGAGGUUUGGAGCUGAUUUGAGUUUCUACCAGUUGUCCGAGGUCUGUUCAUGGUCUUAAUCGUGGUUCGAUUGUUGCUGUCCUGUUCUUGUUCCGUUGCAUGUUCCAAUUUCGACGCCGGUUUGCCUGUAUUCGUUCCUAAACAUAUUAAAUUGAAAGUUGUUCGCAUUCAGACCUGAAGAACCAAGAACAAGGAAAAGAUGACAAAAACCCAUAGAAGGGCAGAAAUGUGGCAGGUUUGCGACCGCAAAAGUGAUGUGUGGGCCACAAACCAACCGUAGAGUGAAGCAGAUAAAGCCAGUUUUUGGGAUUGAUAUUGCAGUAAAUUUUUCCGUCAUAUAACACUUAUGCAGACCGCAUAAUGACCAUAUAAGUGCAAAGAGUGUUUCUGCGAGAACAACUCUGCGACAUCAAAUGAGAUCGCGAAAUCAAUGUACGGACCGCAUAAUGGAUCUACGAUGGAAAAUUGGGCAACUGGACAAUCAAUUAUGCAAUGAAAUUGUGCUUCUACGGACCGCAAAAGUGUUCUGCGGUCGCAGAUGUGAUCUCCAGGGGUAUUUUAUCAUAUCUUGACCCCGACUUUUAGCCCAUUAUAAAUAGAAUACCUAGGAUUUUUGUGGGAAAUCUUGUCUGAGAAAGAGGCGUUGAAUACACUAUUAUUUUGGAAGCUUUUGAAGAAGAGAAUCUUGUCAUCUUUGUAUGUUUUAUGACUUUAUUUAUUGUUUUAUUCUUGGA